rnacentral:rRNA from 1 species
GACGAACGCUGGCGGCGUGCUUAACACAUGCAAGUCGAACGGAAAGGCCCUGCUUUUGUGGGGUGCUCGAGUGGCGAACGGGUGAGUAACACGUGAGUAACCUGCCCUUGACUUUGGGAUAACUUCAGGAAACUGGGGCUAAUACCGGAUAGGAGCUCCUGCUGCAUGGUGGGGGUUGGAAAGUUUCGGCGGUUGGGGAUGGACUCGCGGCUUAUCAGCUUGUUGGUGGGGUAGUGGCUUACCAAGGCUUUGACGGGUAGCCGGCCUGAGAGGGUGACCGGCCACAUUGGGACUGAGAUACGGCCCAGACUCCUACGGGAGGCAGCAGUGGGGAAUAUUGCACAAUGGGCGGAAGCCUGAUGCAGCAACGCCGCGUGCGGGAUGACGGCCUUCGGGUUGUAAACCGCUUUCGCCUGUGACGAAGCGUGAGUGACGGUAAUGGGUAAAGAAGCACCGGCUAACUACGUGCCAGCAGCCGCGGUGAUACGUAGGGUGCGAGCGUUGUCCGGAUUUAUUGGGCGUAAAGGGCUCGUAGGUGGUUGAUCGCGUCGGAAGUGUAAUCUUGGGGCUUAACCCUGAGCGUGCUUUCGAUACGGGUUGACUUGAGGAAGGUAGGGGAGAAUGGAAUUCCUGGUGGAGCGGUGGAAUGCGCAGAUAUCAGGAGGAACACCAGUGGCGAAGGCGGUUCUCUGGGCCUUUCCCGACGCUGAGGAGCGAAAGCGUGGGGAGCGAACAGGCUUAGAUACCCUGGUAGUCCACGCUGUAAACGGUGGGUACUAGGUGUGGGGUCCAUUCCACGGGUUCCGUGCCGUAGCUAACGCUUUAAGUACCCCGCCUGGGGAGUACGGCCGCGAGGCUAAAACUCAAAGGAAUUGACGGGGCCCCGCACAAGCGGCGGAGCAUGCGGAUUAAUUCGAUGCAACGCGUAGAACCUUACCUGGGUUUGACAUGGAUCGGGAGUGCUCAGAGAUGGGUGUGCCUCUUUUGGGGUCGGUUCACAGGUGGUGCAUGGCUGUCGUCAGCUCGUGUCGUGAGAUGUUGGGUUAAGUCCCGCAACGAGCGCAACCCUUGUUCACUGUUGCCAGCACGUUAUGGUGGGGACUCAGUGGAGACCGCCGGGGUCAACUCGGAGGAAGGUGGGGAUGACGUCAAGUCAUCAUGCCCCUUAUGUCCAGGGCUUCACGCAUGCUACAAUGGCUGGUACAGAGAGUGGCGAGCCUGUGAGGGUGAGCGAAUCUCGGAAAGCCGGUCUCAGUUCGGAUUGGGGUCUGCAACUCGACCUCAUGAAGUCGGAGUCGCUAGUAAUCGCAGAUCAGCAACGCUGCGGUGAAUACGUUCCCGGG